AUCUGAGUGGGACUGAUGAAAUGGAUAUGGGUGUCAAUGCCUCCUGCGGUGAGGAUAAGUCCCUCGCCCGCAAUGGCUUCCGUGGACGCUCCGAAAACGAGGGAGGGGGUCACUCCGUCCAUUAUAUCGGGAUUUCCCGCCUUGCCUAUGCCGCAUAUCCUGCCGUCCUUUAUGCCGAUAUCAGCCUUGUAAAUUCCCGUGGAAUCAAUGACGACGGCACUGGUGAUCACCGUGUCUGGGCAGCUGCUGUCAGGCUCGGAGCUGGAUUGUCCCAUUCCGUCACG
rnacentral:sRNA from 1 species